rnacentral:rRNA from 1 species
GACGAACGCUGGCGGCGUGCUUAACACAUGCAAGUCGAACGGUGAAGGGGAGCUUGCUCCCCGGAUCAGUGGCGAACGGGUGAGUAACACGUGGGCAACCUGCCCCAGACUUCGGGAUAACGCUUCGAAAGAGGUGCUAAUACCGGAUACGAACUCCUUGGGCAUCCUUGGGGUUGGAAAGUUUUUCGGUCUGGGAUGGGCCCGCGGCCUAUCAGCUUGUUGGGGAGGUAACGGCUCACCAAGGCGACGACGGGUAGCCGGCCUGAGAGGGCGACCGGCCACACUGGGACUGAGACACGGCCCAGACUCCUACGGGAGGCAGCAGUGGGGAAUAUUGCGCAAUGGGCGAAAGCCUGACGCAGCAACGCCGCGUGAGGGAUGACGGCCUUCGGGUUGUAAACCUCUUUCAGCAGGGAAGAAGCGAAAGUGACGGUACCUGCAGAAGAAGCACCGGCUAACUACGUGCCAGCAGCCGCCGUAAAAC